UACGUAGGUGGCAAGCGUUGUCCGGAAUUACUGGGUGUAAAGGGCGUGUAGGCGGGGAGACAAGUCAGAUGUGAAAUACCGUGGCUUAACUGCGGUGGUGCAUCUGAAACUGUUUCUCUUGAGUGUCGGAGAGGAAAGUGGAAUUCCCAGUGUAGCGGUGAAAUGCGUAGAGAUUGGGAGGAACACCAGUGGCGAAGGCGGCUUUCUGGACGAUAACUGACGCUGAGGCGCGAAAGCGUGGGUAGCAAACAGGAUUAGAUACCCUGGUA
rnacentral:rRNA from 1 species